AAGUCAUCAUCAGCUUCCACUAGAGCUGCAGGACAUGAACAGGCUCUUCAGGAUUAGAAUCACUAAAGUUGCCACAGGAGAGGCCAAGCACAUUAGUGAAAUAACACAAGUACUCCACCCUUGGAAGAUCCGUAAAUACAGCACUCCAAAACCAUCUGUCAGCCCUCCAAAACCUACUGCAGGAAAGCCCUUCUGUUCUCCUUGAGAAAGGAGAACAGUUCAACAUGACCCCAUUUAGUGAUGGAAAUUUAUGAUGCGAGUCACUGUAUCAAAGACAAGAGAGCAUGGAGCAUCUUGUUGAAGAAUCCAUAUCGUUUUAGGAUGCAUGCUCUGCCGGGACACAGUUUUGCUGCAUUGCAGACAAAUGCUAAAUCAGCCUCCUGAGCCAGACACAGCACUCAAGCUUUCAACAAAAGGCCUCAAAGUCCUCUUUGACCUCAUCAUGGCCAGAAAUCUCAUUGCUGCCUCUGCCAGGUCAUAGAUUUUAAGAAGUGGUCUCACCAUGAGCCUUCAAGCCAAUGUCGUUUUUGCAUGGACCACAGGACUUGCUGACAUCAGUUCCUGCUUCAAGUCCAAAGACAGUGGUUGGAAUAAAACAGAUCAUUUUGGAAAUAUUUCCAGUAUACACAUUCUCAACCCAGUAUUAGUUGUUCCAAUGAUUGUUUUUAUUUCCAUUUUUAAUUAAUUUUAAUUAAAAAUUUAUUUCCAACU
rnacentral:lncRNA from 1 species